rnacentral:rRNA from 1 species
ACGAACGCUGGCGGCGUGCCUAAUACAUGCAAGUCGAACGGCUUUUCUAUGGAAGCUUGCUUCCACUGAGAAGAUAGUGGCGAACGGGUGAGUAACACGUGGGUAACCUGCCCAUAAGAGGGGGGAUAACAUCCGGAAACGGGUGCUAAUACCGCAUAGUUUUCUUGAUCGCAUGAUCGGGAAAGGAAAGACGGCCUUUGUGCUGUCGCUUAUGGAUGGACCCGCGGCGUAUUAGUUAGUUGGUGAGGUAACGGCUCACCAAGACGAUGAUACGUAGCCGACCUGAGAGGGUGAUCGGCCACAUUGGGACUGAGACACGGCCCAAACUCCUACGGGAGGCAGCAGUAGGGAAUCUUCCGCAAUGGACGAAAGUCUGACGGAGCAACGCCGCGUGAGUGAAAGAAGGUUUUCGGAUCGUAAAACUCUGUUGUCAGAGAAGAACAAGUUGGAGAGUAACUGCUCCAGCCUUGACGGUAUCUGACCAGAAAGCCACGGCUAACUACGUGCCAGCCGCCGC